UGUUUAUUAGUUUUUGAAGUUUGUGUUUAUUUGAUGAAAAUCAAUGGGAGUUGAGGAUGCCGGGUACUUGUUUUCAGGUGUUUUGAUUGGAACUAAGGUAAUUAGGGGCUUUUUCUAGUUAUCUGAUGCACAUUGAUUGAUUUUAAUGUUUUUCAGAUUUUAAUGAUUGUAUUUAUAUGCAUGUGGUGUCCUCAGGUCUUACAUGAACUAAUUUAUAUGCAUGUGGUGUCCGCGGAUCUUACAUGAACUAAUACGACGCCCCAACUAGAUUAUGUGGAGCAAGAAAGAAGUGGCAUCAAAUCUAGAUGUCGUAACAGAUGUGUAUGAUUUCCUCCAUUUGGUAAGCACCAUUUCUAGUGAAAAAGAAGUAAGCAAUGAAUGUCUAGGUGCAGAUGCUGAUGAAAAAGAAGUAAGCAAUGAAGCAGCCCGUUUAAUCUGAUCAAUCUACUCCCUGGGGAGGUUGGAAAUCAAAUGAUGUGUACAACAAUUCAGGAUGUUGUUUGAAUUACUUGUCCUAAUAGGUGCACAAGUUGGGAUGGAUUGGACUUCUAUCUUGAGAAAAUGCCAUGAUUUUAGGUAGUUAUUAUUGUAAUGAAAAGUUAAAAAAUUAAAAGAGAGAGAGA